AAAAACAUGGUUUUUUGUAAAAAAUUUAAAAUUAGUUCUGCUCUAUGAUUAUUUUUAAUUAAAUGGCUGCAGUAUUUUUGACUGUACAAAGGUAGCAUAAUAAAUUGUUUUUUAAUUAAAAGCUUGAAUGAAUGAAUUAAUAAAAUUUAUACUUUAUUAAAUAAAAUUAUUUGAAUUUAAUUUUUAAUUUAGAAAGAUUAAAUUUUUAAAUGGGACGAGAAGACCCUAUAGAAUUUUAUAAAAUUUAUAAAUAAAUUUUAUUAUUUAAAAGAUUUUAUUUAAUUGGGAGGAUUAUUAAAUUUAAUUAACUUUAUUUAAUUAUUUUACAUUUAUAAAUGAUUUAAAGAUUUUAUUAAUAUUAAUUUUAAGAUUAAAUUACCUUAGGGAUAACAGUAUAAUAUUAUUGGAAAGCUCUUAUUUAUAAUAAUGUUUAUGACCUCGAUUUGAAUAAGAGGAG
rnacentral:rRNA from 1 species